GACGAACCGUGCGAACGUUAUUCGGAUUCACUGGGCUUAAAGGGCGCGUAGGCGGCUGACCAAGUCGGGGGUGAAAUCGUUCGGCUUAACCGGACAAGGGCUUCCGAUACUGGUCAGCUGGAGGGAGAUAGGGGUGCGCGGAACUUCCGGUGGAGCGGUGAAAUGCGUAGAUAUCGGAAGGAACGCCGGUGGCGAAAGCGGCGCACUGGAUCUCUACUGACGCUGAGGCGCGAAAGCCAGGGGAGCGAACGGGAUUAGAUACCCCGGUAGUCCUGGCCCUAAACGAUGGGUACUAGGUAGUGGGCUUGCAUGGGCUCACUGCCGGAGCAAAAGUGUUAAGUACCCCGCCUGGGGAGUAUGGUCGCAAGGCUGAA
rnacentral:rRNA from 1 species